AUAUAAAUACUGAUUGUGGUUAUGACUAUAGUGUCUUAAAAGUAUUAUAUAUAUGUCAAAACUUAAUUUAUCAAAUGAUCAAAUUUUGUGCCCCAUAAUUUCAUACCAUCAAAAUAUCAAAUGCGUCAGAUUUUGUAAAUUUUUUGACUAUUUGAAAGGGUAACUAGCUGUUGAUGAAUCAUCAUAGAUUGCAAUAAUUAAAUAAAAAAGCCGGUGGGAUUUUUUUUUAUUAUUAUUUAAAUGAAAUUGAAAUGUGUUUGCGUGUGAGUACAGUUAAAAUUGUAGAGAUGAUUAAAGACGGCGGCCACAUGCCCUAAGUAAACGGGCCUACGUUAAGCAAUUGCUUCGAUUUCGACGUAAGAUUGUGGAAAGUAUGCGGAUGAGGUGACCCAGCCCAGGUCAAUGGUAGCUAAAACUAACCCAGGCAAAGUCACGUUGACAAAUUUCCGUCGGUUACAUUUCAGUUUCGCGCUCGAUUUAAUUUCACUCCUUUAAUUUAAUAUACUAGUAUUUGUAAAUGAGCAUCGAGCAGUUGGACCUCUCAAAGAUUAAUCGUGUAAUUUUUAAGCAGGACAUAAUUUGGAAUCAUUAAAAAAAAGAAAAAAAAUUAUAAUCUCAACUAAAAUUUUCAUCUGAGAAUACCUCUACUAAAUAUACACAGAACAUUAAUUAUUAAAAUGUAGGCUUGUCUGAGAUUACCACUACUAAAUAGAUACAAAACAUUAAUUAUUAAAAUACAUGCUCAUUUGAAAUUAUUUUUAGGAGACUCAAAAAU
rnacentral:lncRNA from 1 species